UGCCUGCGCUAGCACACAGGCAUUCUGAUAAAAUUGAAACAAUGAAAAGAAGAUUAGCAUGGCACAUGCACAAGGAUGACACAUAUAAAUCGAGAAAUGGUAGCUUUCAUG
rnacentral:snRNA from 1 species